UGUGGGGCCCCGCCCAGUUUCUUGGCACAUCCUGACAACACUGCCAGCAUUAUGUUCCAAGAGCUUCCAAGGAAUAUCUUUCAAAAAGGCAAAGAUACAUUUUUCACACUGGCACUUACAUCUAUUAGGUAACUAAUCAGCAAUGACGGCAGUAGGUACUGUCUCUAACUACCUACACACCAUGUCACCCCUGAAGAAAGGCAAAAGUCAGAGGCUUCCUCUGCUCUACGGCCACCCAUCCUGUUUUCUCAUGCCAGGGAACCACCAGCUUGAGCCCACCUAGGAAGAAGGGGCUCCAUCCCAUCCGCAAGGGGCACUGAGGAUCACAACUCUUCAGGAACUUGGCCACACUGAGCAUUUCCGCUCCUGGCAUGUGUAUCUUCAUUCCCUUUAGCUUUGUCACACUCUUGCAAACAGCGAC
rnacentral:lncRNA from 1 species